rnacentral:rRNA from 1 species
GAGGGAUGAAAGCCUUCGGGUGUAAACCUCUUUCAGUAGGGAAGAAGCGACUGGGUUCUCUCAGACGUGACGGUACCUGCAGAAGAAGCGCCGGCUAACUACGUGCCAGCAGCCGCGGUAAUACGUAGGGCGCAAGCGUUGUCCGGAAUUAUUGGGCGUAAAGAGCUCGUAGGCGGUUUGUCGCGUCUGGUGUGAAAACUCAAGGCUCAACCUUGAGCUUGCAUCGGGUACGGGCAGACUAGAGUGUGGUAGGGGUGACUGGAAUUCCUGGUGUAGCGGUGGAAUGCGCAGAUAUCAGGAGGAANNNNNAUGGCGAAGGCAGGUCACNNNNNNNNNUACUGACGCUGAGGAGCGAAAGCAUGGGGAGCGAACAGGAUUAGAUACCCUGGUAGUCCAUGCCGUAAACGUUGGGCACUAGGUGUGGGGCUCAUUCCACGAGUUCCGCGCCGCAGCUAACGCAUUAAGUGCCCCGCCUGGGGAGUACGGCCGCAAGGCUAAAACUCAAAGGAAUUGACGGGGGCCCGCACAAGCGGCGGAGCAUGCGGAUUAAUUCGAUGCAACGCGAAGAACCUUACCAAGGCUUGACAUACACCGGAAUCGGCCAGAGAUGGUCGCGUCUUCGGACUGGUGUACAGGUGGUGCAUGGUUGUCGUCAGCUCGUGUCGUGAGAUGUUGGGUUAAGUCCCGCAACGAGCGCAACCCUCGUCCUAUGUUGCCAGCACGUCAUGGUGGGGACUCAUAGGAGACUGCCGGGGUCAACUCGGAGGAAGGCGGNGACGACG